rnacentral:lncRNA from 1 species
UGACCUCCACCUUAUCCUUCCAUCCUUCCAAGCCCAUACAGGCCCAACUAGUCCAUCUUCCUGAUCGGCCGAUUUCUUAUCGGCAAAGGAUUGCCGAUUGGGAAUCCGGCGCAUUCACCCUGAAGCGAAGUAAAAGCUGCCGGCCGAUUCCGCAUUAUAGCACCAUUUGACCGAUUCCCAACUGUACUUCUUCGACUUCCUUUCUUCUUGGCGCCGAUUCUACUGAUGACGAAAUCC